GAAGUUUCCUAUGAAUUUUGUACUGCAUCAGAUUUACUUGUCUUUAUUAUUUUAUGUCUUUUAUCCCUGGUUUUGGAUUCCCCCAUAAGCAGAAUUACUUUUUCAACUUCUACCUUAUCCAAACCCUCCGUUGUUCUGUAGACAGCUAUCAGAUCAGCCUUCAGCCUUUUCCAGAGAAAAGAUGAUCUCGCAGUCCAGUUUUUCCUGAUGAUUUUUACAUGAUAUUCUUUUUGUAAAGCUGCUUUUACAGCUACUCCAAUACCUCUAUAUUCUUUUACAAUACGGAACCCGGAAACGUGCACAAUAUUCCAAGUGUGGUUGAAUGAGCAUGCUACACACAUUUAGCAUAACUUCUUUGCUUUUCAGUACUCAAAGUGCUUUCUUUGUUUGUUCUUUUUAUGGCCUCGUAAACCUGUGUUGUUAUUCUUAAUGAACUGGACCCAGUAACGAGUCAAGUCUGAACUAAAGCGACUGGGAAAAAACACUGCAUUACUCUUUAUGCAUUUCUUCAUUUAAUGCUGCAGAUAUUACUACAAUAGUUCUUAAAGGGUUAAUAGCAUUAAAUUUAACAUGAUUCAAUGCUAUUUGCAUAAUCCUGACCUCCAACCUUUCAGUUAAAACAAAAUUGCUGCGUCACUGUUGAUAUUUAUUUGCUAAUCUGUAACUAAUGGCAGAUACGACAAAAAAAACUCCCACUACAUUCAGGAAGCUCGUGAUCACUGAUGACCAGCAUUUCAAUACAUAUUAUAUAAAUAGAUAUAACAAAGAAAGUACAUUGCCAAGUAUAAAAAGAAAAGCCUAGAAAAAUUAAAAAUCAGGUUCCUCAGCAUCUGGAAAGAAAAAUACAAGCAUAUGUUGCACAGAAGUGCUGAGAUGUUAACUGAUGUGCCGGAUGUUGAGUUUCGUGAAAAGAAAGUAUCAAAAUGGAAGACUGAAUUUAAAAAAAUAUUCAUUCACAGGAUUACCCAUAUCUAGUUGCCCUUCAGAAGGUGCUAGUGUGCGGUUUUCUUGAGCUGUUGCAGUCCAUGCACUGUAUGUAGACCCUCAGUGCUGUUAGGGAGUGUGUUCUGGGACUUGGAGCCAGUAACACUGAAAGAACAGUGAUAUGUUUUCAAGUCAAGAUAGUGAGCAGCUCAGAGGGGAACUUGCAGGAGUGGUGGCCCUAUGUAUCUGUGCCCGUCAGUCUCGGUGGUCGUGGCCAUGGGUUUGGAAGUUGCUGCAUAAGGAAUCUUGACAGAAUGCUCUCGAUGGCACACCUAUAAAAGUUCGC